rnacentral:rRNA from 1 species
UACGAAGGGUGCAAGCGUUAAUCGGAAUUACUGGGCGUAAAGGGUGCGUAGGCGGUUCGUUAAGUCUGUCGUGAAAUCCCCGGGCUCAACCUGGGAAUGGCGAUGGAUACUGGCGAGCUAGAGUGUGUCAGAGGAUGGUGGAAUUCCCGGUGUAGCGGUGAGAUGCGUAGAGAUCGGGAGGAACAUCAGUGGCGAAGGCGGCCAUCUGGGACAACACUGACGCUGAAGCACGAAAUCGUGGGGAGCAAACAGG